CCAAAGCCAGGUCAUAAGACGCCUCACAGCUUCCACCUGGGACCCCAGGAGUACUUGCUCCUAAGACACUUCCUCUUGAAACCCAGUCCCCUGGCCGGGAGAAACCACAUGGAAAGACACAGACCCAUGUAUUCUGACAAUGAAAGAAACAAUGCUGUAUAUUGCUUGCUGGUUUAAAGUAUGUACUUUAUCCUGGAGAUGAAAUGACAUCUAUGGCGGAUGCUGUGGAACACUGCUCAGAUCCACCUUAAGACUGAGGCAUUUAUUCCCCCAACUACCAGAAGUGUUGCCUGCUGACCGUUCAUACUACACUCCUCUCUGGGCAUUUUCCUCAGCAGGAAAGAAGGCCGCCUUGACCAAGAUUAUGUCCCCUUCUUGGUGGCAACCUGCAUCCAGUCGCUGGCCGAUACGGGAAUACAAAGGCCUGGCACCUUAACUUCAAUUUGGAACAAUUCUGAAGCAGCAUUCAAGCUCCAGGAAGACCUAAGCAUUCAGCUGAAGCCUAUGUUGCAACUGCAUCAUAGUUCAACUUUUCCCUUUGUGCAAUUUGGCUACCCUCACUCCCAUUAGGCAUUGUUUCCUAGAGCAUUCUCCAACAAAUCUAUGGCAUUCAAGUGACCCCCUCAGCAUCUCUUUCUAGGGAACCUACCCAAGAUGCUAUCUAAUCAGGGUGAUAUCUCCUUACUGGUGCUAUAACUGAACCUUCAGUAAGCCAUUCUACCAUUCUUUUGGGCUAGCUGCUUCUGGAUGAUAGAGGAUGUAAUUAUAGCAAUGAAUUUUAUGAGCAUAGGAUCAUUGCUGUACUUCUUUUGCUGUGAACUAAGUUCUUUGAUCAGGAGCAACGUUUUGCAGAAUACCAUCAUGGUGAAUAUAGCAUUCUGCACACCAUAUACGAUGAUGCUGGUAGAAGUAUUAAAGUGAGGGAGGGCAAAUCCAUAACCCAGAAUAUGUGUUUAGUUGAGUAAGGACAAAUUGCUGCCCCUCCUGGAAGGAGUCCACCAUGAUCCAGCUGCCAUCAGAUAUUUGGCUGUGAUCUUCAGGGAAUAGUGCCACACUGAGGACUCAGCAUUGGUCUCUGCUUUUGGUAGGUUAGGUACUCAACAGUGAUGGUAGCCAGAUUAGCUACUAGUUUUAAGCUCAUGCAUCGCCUUCAUGCUUUCAUCAUGGUAGCCUGCAUCCUGUGUACAUGGGCUUAUCAAGGAAACACUGAUGUCUGGGGGAAAAGACUGACUGAUAUCCACAGAAUACACCAGCUUGUUCACCUGACUGGUAGAGCCUCCUUUGCAGUGGAUGCCCUUGGGUGAGUGUUCACAGGGAACACAACUAUCUUUACACUCUGUGCCCACUUUGAGAUAUCCUUAUACUUGUUCACCAUACUUCCUGUUACUCACAUUCCAAUCUUGUUCUUUCUGAGUCCUUGAAACCUAGGACACCACUCACCUCUGCCUAUGAACCAACAUCGAUUGUAUUAUUGGCCAUCUCUCAGCUCAGACAACAUGGACAACCAAAUGUCCUGCUUGAAGUUCUGCUCGCUAGGAUUUCCAUUCUACCCUAUUUCUAGCAUCUUUCAGGGACACUCCUGAUGGGUGUCAUAAUGCUUCAGCAGUCCACUGUUGUGCAGAAUAACGUAUACACAAGACCUAAGAUUUUUUCUCCUCAGUCAUCUAGCUGGGAAGAGCUCCCUACUAGGCCAUAGGUUUGGAUUGUAGGAGAAGAUGCCACACAGUAAGAGUAAGUGUAAGGCUCUGAACCGCCUGUUUAUGUAGUUACUUGUAAUUCUAGACCUGCUCAUGUCCAAGUUCUUAAAUACCAUUUUUACUUGAUAAUGAAUCACUGCUGUGCAUGCUCAAACUUACAGUUGUGUGGGUCAGAUAUGCUCAGGUCAUGAUUGGCAGCUCAGGGGUCAUUCAGUGUCCUAGGGUGAUGCAGGGCCCAGUAGCCAGGGCCCAGUAAAGAAUCAUGAGCUGUGUCUCAAAAGAAGAAUAGCUGCCUGCAGAAGCAGCAUGGAUUUUCUCUAAAACCCUGGAGGCCUGCGCUGUGGUUUUAUCUAUGAUUACUCUGUACAGCAUCACUACUUACCAUAGAUACUUUAAGUAUCAUUGUCUAUUAGGGUUCUCCAGAGAAACUGAACCAAUCGCAUGUAGAUAUAGAUACUGUUCCAUGGUAAGCAGGUUUAUGCAAACCUAUCCUCAAAGGCCAUGGAAGCUAAGAGGCUGAGGAAAGAGGCUGACAAAUCCAGUUUCUCAGAAAGGAACAUAUAAUAGGGACUUAAGAACAGAGGCCAUGCUCCUGGAAGCCAUGAGACAAGAUGGUGGAUCCUAUACCAUUACUCACCAGACCCAGAGCUUACAUACCUCAGGGAAAGGGUAUGUAUGCUUCAGAAGGGAUGUGUAGAACAAUUGCUUAAGGUCAGGAUUUAUGGUAAGUACUAUAACAUUAAAGUUGUUUUGAUCUAAGGGCAGGGCUUACAGUAAGUACAUGCUCUCAUGCAAGGAACAGUAGAUAAAACAGACUUUUUUUUUUACUAUACUUUAAGUGUUAGGGUACAUGUGCACAACGUGCAGGUUAGUUACAUAUGUAUACAUGUGCCAUGUUGGUGUGCUGCACCCAGUAACUCGUCAUUUAACAUUAGGUAUAUCUCCAAAUGCUAUCCCUCCCCCCUCCCCCCACCCCAAAACAGGCCCUGGUGUGUGAUGUUCCCCUUCCAAAACAGGCAUUUUAAAGGCAUUCCUGGAACGAGUUAGACAGCAGUGAACACGGUGGGUUAGCAUCUAAGAGGGAGUGGCUGUAGCCUCCACAGAUGUAUAGCUAUAUAGAAAGAUAUCUAUUUAAAUUUUGUUGACUUUUGGUGAUGUCAGCCCUGUAAAUAUAGGAUACAAGUUUCUUUUAGGACCACCACAGAAACUCUCUGGUUCUCUGACUGUGACUUGAGCUGAAUUUAAAGACCUGAGCUUGUUACUUUUCCUUUUAUAAGUAUUGCAGGGCAUUCUGAAGUGGCCAUCUCCAUCCCACAGAACUUGCAGUUCAUCAUUAUUGUCAUAGUGAUUAAGUGUAGCAGCCAGUUGGUCCCCAAGGCAUUUGCUCCAAUAGGCAAUUUUUCACAACCUACUACAGGUGCUAUUUUUAUUAGUUUUGAUGCCACUUCAUGCCAUGAUCUACUAAUAUCCCAUGUUUCAUUGAUGAGGACUCAGCAUUGUAUUUGAGGCCAAGAAUAUGACCAAAUCAAUUCCAGAAUCCCAUCUUCACAGGUAUGUUUCCUAACCCCACUGUGAAUACGACAUAUCAGUCAGAAUCACUUAGGGAAACAGAAACUAUACCAGUUAUUUUAAUAGAGAGAAUUUGGUAUAGGAAAUUAGUUUAACAGAUACUGGAGGAUUGAAAAGGCAAAAAAUAAACACUAAGAACACUUAGACUUAGUGAAAGCAGGCUGGGGGAACAAAAGGAAGAGGUUGGGCUUAUAUUAGAAAUCAGAAGCUUGGAUAAGGGCCCUUGUGGAGCUGGGAUGCAGCUCUCUGAGUAGAAAACGUCCUUCAGCUAAUGCUGGCAUCUCAGGAGCUUGGACAAAGAACAGUGGCUGGUGUUGGUUUCCCUGAAGGGGCACAGUGAGGCUGAUUGGAGGGCAGGAGGAGGGUUCUGGAAACUGGAACUGUUACUGCCAGGAAGAAGAACUGUUGUUGGAGUGACACUGACAGUAACAGCAAGCAAAAUAGAAACUGCUAAGUGCCUUCUCCUUUCUCCCACCUUGAAGUCUCCCUGUAGCACCCCCUAUUGGCAAAGCCUAACUGGAGCAGCCUGGGAAAGGAAAAGUGUGCUUUGAGAGUCUGAGACAAAGAGAAGUUUAGAAAGGUGGGUUUGGAGCUGAGUCACCAUAGCUUAAUAAUCAGCAUAGUUUUCUUGACUGUAACCUGGUUGUUAAAAGAAUGAAAUUAUGUCACCUAUAUUAAAUGUAUAGAAUUACACCUGGUACAUAGUAAGUAUUCAAUAAAUGUUU
rnacentral:lncRNA from 10 species